CCCAGUGAUGAUAGCGAAGGUGACACACCCGUUCCCAUUCCGAAUACGGAAGUUAAGCCCUUCAGCGCCGAUGGUACCUCCCUGGAAGCGGGGUGGGAGAGUAGGACAUUGCUGGGA
rfam:Candidatus Desantisbacteria bacterium CG1_02_49_89 cg1_0.2_scaffold_1576_c, whole genome shotgun sequence.